UGGGGAAUUUUGGACAAUGGGCGAAAGCCUGAUCCAGCAAUGCCGCGUGUGUGAAGAAGGCCUUCGGGUUGUAAAGCACUUUUGUCCGGAAAGAAAUCCUUGGCUCUAAUACAGUCGGGGGAUGACGGUACCGGAAGAAUAAGCACCGGCUAACUACGUGCCAGCAGCCGCGGUAAUACGUAGGGUGCAAGCGUUAAUCGGAAUUACUGGGCGUAAAGCGUGCGCAGGCGGUUUGCUAAGACCGAUGUGAAAUCCCCGGGCUCAACCUGGGAACUGCAUUGGUGACUGGCAGGCUAGAGUAUGGCAGAGGGGGGUAGAAUUCCACGUGUAGCAGUGAAAUGCGUAGAGAUGUGGAGGAAUACCGAUGGCGAAGGCAGCCCCCUGGGCCAAUACUGACGCUCAUGCACGAAAGCGUGGGGAGCAAACAGGGUUAGAUACCCUGGUAGUCCACGCCCUAAAACGAUGUCAACUAGUUGUUGGGGAUUCAUUUCCUUAGUAACGUAGCUAACGCGUGAAGUUGACCGCCUGGGGAGUACGGUCGCAAGAUUAAAACUUAAAUGAAUUGACGGGGUCAUAGCUGUUUCCU
rnacentral:rRNA from 1 species